rnacentral:lncRNA from 1 species
GCUUUUCGGCACCACCCAAGAUGUACUAAUGCGCCUUGUGAAGACUCACUCCCGUGGCCUCUGGGGUUCGGCAUUGAAAGAGAGGGUGGGAGAGGAAAGGAAAGAGAAGGGGAAAGGACUCAUUUGGAAGCAGUGCAUUUUUAUCAGAGGGACUGAAAAGCCUUUCGAGAAUCAGUCAAGAAAAAGGAAUGCGCAUGAGAGUCAUGCACAAGGAAAUCCAACACUGAGGGGUCACAGCAGAGGGACGGAAAGCACCUGGAUCUUACAACAUUGUUGAGCUCUUUUGUCUCUUGACUUCUAGUUAUGAGAUGUAAUUUUCUUACUGUUAAAGUCAUUUCUGUUCCUUGCAACCAAAAGCAUUCAUUGAUACACUGAAUAUAGUACAAUAUUUAUUCAAUCAAUAAAUGCCUGGCAAAUUACCCAAGUAUGAGUAAUUGUAGUUUGUCUCACAGCUAUUCUUUCAAGUAAAAGUGAUGCUCCAUGACAAAAACGGCUAGUUUAGCUUGUAACACAAACAACUGCACAAGUGCUUUUCCUUCAGACAAGUAUUGUACUUUCAUAUGUAACAGAUGUAUGUGCUUUAUGCAUGUUCCCAUUUCAUAACACAGAGUAUUAGAAACAUGUAUACUUCAGGGUUGAGAUCUCAUAAAAUGAGUAGUUUUCACAGCUUCAUUGAGGACACUCUUAAAUGAAACUGGCAGGUUUUUUUUUUUGAGUACUAGGAAAUGGGUGGCAGUAAAGAAUACAGUAACUAUUAAUAUAGUGUGGUGCUACUGCCUUGAAUUGUGCUAAGGCAUCGGCAGUUUUCGUCAUCAUUGCUUUGACAUCAUCAGUGCAGGUGUCAAUACAGUGAAAAAGGUAAAUGGCAUCUUGGUGUGAUUAUGGAAAUAGAUUGAUCUAAUGGACCGCCUGAAGUAGGCUUGGCCUCCCCAGGGAUCUUAGAGAACUGCUAUAGUAGGUGAUUACUUGGGAAACAAAAUCUCUUAGGAGAAGUUAUGGAUACAAAAUGGUUAUUGUUGAGGCCUGGAAGAGACUGAAUUAUGUGCCAUAUCAUGGUUCUGACUCCUUUAUUUGGGUCAAUGUCACUAUUGCCUCAGUGACUGCCAGCACAUGGGGCUGGUAACAGAGGAGUCCUAGGAGUAUCCAGGUGCUGAGGUGCUUGUGAGGCCUUAGGCUGGAGGGCACAGCAAAUGGGCUCACCCAGUGCUACCAGUUACAGACACAUUCACAAGACUGUGAAUCCACAACUCAGUUCUUUAUUUCCCUCUUCAGCCUGUUAGGUAAUUUAUCAUGUACUCAGCUUAGAAACACACUAUUUAGUGUAGUCUGAUUUCUGUUUAUAAUUCUUAAAAUACUCUUAUUAGUGAAGUCUUCUAAGUUCAGCCUUUUCUUGAGCUAAAAUUUCUCCGAUGCUGAAUAACUAUUAAAUAAUGAAUGUGUUGUUUCACUCGGAGGGGCAACAAGAUUCCCUCAAGCAGCACCUACCCCCACUGCUUGCCAGAAACAGGCAUUUUGGCAACACCACAAAGCACCAACUUUCGAGGUCUCACUGAGCCAGUCCUUGUUUCCAGGAAAGAAAACCCAUGUUCUUGAGCCAGAACGAAUGCUCUAAAGGCUGAGAUUCUCUUUUCUCUUGCUAGAGAGGGAAGAAUGACAAUGGUUUGCUUGGAUUCCUAUAGUGGGAAAGCCAUCUAGAAAUUCUAGCCAGGCAGAUAUCUCUCACAUGGAGAUACUGUCCCUUGACUCAUGAAUGCACUGUGGAAUUUGCCCUGGUGCCUUCUGAAGGGUUAAAGAAAAGGAUCCUAUUCCUUACUAGCAGUGAUGCUGAGGCCUGAAUCAAAUUAGGGAAAAGGCCAGUCAUGCUGUUGCCUGCUAUAUUUACUGAGAUAAUUUCUUAAAGCACAGAAGCAAGACAGACAAUCCAAAAAAUCGACAUGAACUUGUUCUGCAGAGUAAAGAUAGUUUCUGUCUUACUGCAUUGCUAUGAAAAAAAAAAAAUUUUAGAUCUGAAUGUGGCAAGGAAACAAGCUCCCUAGAUCGUCAGAGAAAUGACUGAGUUUUAGCAAGUUUUUCCUAAUUUUUGACCUAAAAUGUUCUUUCCUUCAGUGCCUCCCUGGAGUUUUUGUUUUGUUUUAUUUUUGUUUUCUAACACAAAAAAACACCUGCAUCACACAUUCUUACCCUCACUUUUGUGCUCUGUGUUGGAAACACAGGAGUUGUAAUGAUGUCUUUGGCUCUGGGCCUCUAAAUCUUCAUAGUGAAUUCAUCAAACUCUACACCUCAGGACCAGUCCAAAGCUUGGAAGGGAAAGAGGAGGAAGCAGGGGUUAUAAACAUACGCCAGGCAAUUUUUUUCCCCGUAUCUAGGUCAUUUUACUUUUCUCUGUGUAAAAUGCCUGGCCUUGGUGUUUUUGAGUGUGCAUGUAAACUCAGACUUGGCAGUGGGGAACAUGCAGUCAAACUUCUACAAUAUUCCUGGUGAUUGGCCUUUUAUAUCCCUAUCCUUGCUACUCCUUUUACCUUGACAUUGAACAUUUGCUCAGUACUUUAGCUCUUAUUAUUGUGUUGGUAGAACACCUUUUUCCCCUUAAGCACAGUUCUAGUACAUUAUUUCUGUGUUGUAUUAGAAAAAGGGAUGGAGCAAUAAGUUGGGAGAUUUUGCAUCCUAGUUCUGCCAUUAAAUGGCCAUAGAUACUGGAAAAGUCAUGUUCCUGUUCUGGGCUUCAUCUGUAAAAUGGGGAUUGGAGAGAGGGCUAAAUUUCCAGUGGUCCAUAGAUCUGGUGACGUGGUUUAGAUAUUUGUCUCCUCCAAAUCUCGUGUUGCAAUGUGAUCCCCAGUGCUGAAGGUGGGGCCUAGUGGGAGGUGUUUGGAUCAUGGGGGCAGAUUCCACAUGAAUGGCUUGGUGUCAUGCCAACAGUAACGAGUGAGUUCUUGAUCUAUGAUCUAUUAGUUCACGUGAGAGCUGGUUGUUAAAAGAGCCCAGCACCUCUCCCAACUCUCCCUUGCUUUCCUCUCUCGCGUGUGAUACACUGGCUCCCCUUUUGCCUUCUGCUAUGAAUAUAAGCUUCCUGAGGCCGUCACCAGAAGCAAAUGCUGGCUGUAUGUUUCUUAUACAGCCUGCAGAACUCUGAGCCCAAUAAGCUUCUUUUCUUAAUAAAUUAUCCAGUCUCAGGUAUUCCUUUAUAGCAAUGCAAAAUGGACUAACACAACUAACAUUUUUAGCAAAGUCUUCUUUCCACCACUUCCUUCCACUGGGCAUUUUAAGACAGCAGUGCUGAGAUAGGCUUUUGGGAACCAAAACCUAGAGUUGAUGGGUUCUAGGUCCUUGUCAAGCCUAAUGUUAGUUUUUUUCUCUCUUUCUCCAAAUGUCAGGUUUUCUAUCACCCCACCACUUCAAUAGUUUGCACUUAAUUUACCGAAGCUUCUGUGCUUUCUAGGUGGUUCACAUGGCUUCACUCCCCCUAACUCUCCGUGCUAUAUUCUAAACCUUUCACAGUCUAAAAGACAUGGGCAUUUGGUAAUUUUUAAAGUACCUUCUUCAUUUAAAAGAAUGAAAUGGAGUCUCAGAGAAGUCAGCUGAUGGCAAGCUCUCACAAGUUGGGUCAAAGGACAGCAAGUAGGUGAGGCGAAGCCCUGAAUUCCUCAAGUAGCACAUCCUAGUGGCCGCAUGAAGAGGCUUCUGGUGAAAGGGAAGAAAAGAGUGCUGCCAGUUUCUAGGGAAGCAGACGGGCAUAUGAGUGCUGCCCAGAGCUGCCACACACAGGGCCGCUGAGGGCCAACUUAAGUUCCUACUCCUGUGACCAAGAAUGACAAGCUCCCACCUACAUUGCUGGCCUACAUGUUUGAGACAUUCAAGCACUCAGGGAAUACAAACAUUUACUCUCUGGAUGUGCGAUGUUAGUGCUGCCUGUGACCAAAGGAUGAACUAAAGAAAAUAAAAUUAAAAAGAAACAGUGAGAGAAGCCAGUUGGCUACCUGUAGAAAAAGAGGGGAAUCUUGGUGGUUCUAAGGGAAACAAAGAUAACAAACUAGGAAAAUAAUUCAAGAACACACAGACCAAGUAGUAAUAUACAUGAAAAUACAGCAUGAAAGAAGAUCCCUUCAUAUAAAAGUUAAACAUUGAGAAGAGGAUUUUAUGUGGUGACUUAAAACUAUUACCCCCUUCUAUGUUUUCUCCAAGAGGCUAGUAAGGACUCAUUUAAAACAAGCAUUAGAAAUAAGAUUUGCCAAUAAGAUAAUUGAAACAAUAUAUAGAAAUUGAGACAAAAUUCUGGGCACAUCUUACCUAUAUAUUUUGUUAAGCCACUAUAAAAAAAUAGUGACAUUUCCAGUUAAUAUGCUUAUCAUUCUAAACCUACCAUCAGAUAACUCAAAAUUAUAAGGAGUUGGCAUCAGGAACUAAAGGAAAAUAGCCUAUCAGAAAGUCAACAGUGGCAGAA